GGUAGUGUGGGGUUGAUAAAGGUGACCCAGGACCUGUGGCUUCCUUUGACUUCUGAAGUUGACUGACGAGGAAGAUCAGGUGAAUUAGACUGGUGGUACCUAAAUGAUACUGGGCAUCUGUGGUUUUGUUUUUGAAUUGCAUCUGGAAUGCUGCAGUUAGCAGAGGAUGUUCCUAUUUGUGUUAGGAGACUUUCAUAGGACCAUCCUAUAUUAAUAUUGCUUAGAGGGAAUGUGCAAGAGUGAGCUCUUUGGAGCAGUUGGAAGAUACACCUAAAGGAAAUCCAAGGUAAAAUGGAUUAUUGAGGAACACUGCUGCUGACAAAGCUGCUUCACCAUGCGAUCCUACAGAAGAAAAAACAACUGAAGAUUUUAAACUUGAAAGAAGGAAUCUCAAUUUGGGGCAAGAGCUGGGCAGGAAACUGCAAAGAGGAAAAAGUGGGAAUUUAUAAGAGAAGGGCACUGCGUGCAGUGGGAGGUCCUCAUCACCCAUCAUUGCACUGUAAGACAUGUCAUUGCAACUGGUGGCACACCUGCACCAGGAAGGGCUUUUUGCACAAAAGGGGAUCGGUGUGCUCUUCAGGACUGCAGCAUGAUCUUACAUUGCAUGGGUACUUCUGAGAUGAUAAACCAUAAAUCUGAGGUGGCAUAAACCAUGAAUGAAGAGGAAAAGGUAGCGGAGGUGGGAAGACUGCAGCAACCUCAG